rnacentral:misc_RNA from 1 species
GUUUUUAGUUUUAGAAGAAUGAGUCUUUCCUAUAUGCAAUGAUGAAGAUGGAGUACUUGGGAUCAACAAAAUUCUAAAACUACGGAACCCAACUGGUUUCUACCGGGAGAACAAGAUCCAGAGCAAUGACUCCAACAGUUUGGAUUGAAAAUGGGAGUGAUACUGUUGAAGAAUGUCAAGGACAUGUGUAGAUUUUCUAGGGUUUGAAAAAUGAAACUUCAGAUUAAUUCUCU